GGCUUUUGUGGGGAGUCCUGACUUUGCUUCAGAAAGGACAGCAGAAUGGUAAGGAAUAGGUCAAAAUUCAGGUAUGGUCUCAUUUGCAUUGUUGCCCAAGAGCUUCCUGGAAAGAGUACGGAGCUCUGUGGGCCAAGUCUUGUGGCCUAGAUAUCAUGACUCCAUGUUGGGCCUAGAGCUCAGCCUGAGGGACCAUAGUUGUCGUGACAGCCUCCAGUAGUUCCUGGAGCAGCAAGAAUAAGGUCUCUUGUUUACAGAGGAUGUCCCACACUCCUCAGCAGUGUCGAGAAGAGGUUGUCUCCAGCACCUGCCUAGGAGACUGGUCUCAAAAGUCUAGAAACCAGUAAUCAGAUGUCACUGACUGUAGGAUACAAGUGGAAUGAUAUUCUACUAGGAAACAAGCAUUUCUUAAAAAAUUACAAAAAUGUAAACUGGUAACUGUGAUAAAUGCUUAAAGGUGACAUCUCUGAUGGUGUCCAUCAAGACUAAGCUUGAUUCUCUCCAUUUGAAGACCUCUGGGUCAGUCCUCAAAUCUGCGUCCCGAGGGCUUAAGGUAAUCACAGCAAUCGGCCCUGACUUUUGAGUGGACAGAUCCUUAUCUUGUCUGCUCCUUUCCUUUUGUGCUGUUAUGACUAAUCUUUUUUUUUUUUUUCCUUUGAAACAUGAUCUUACUCUGUCACCCAGGCUGGAGUACAGUGGUGCAAUCACAGCUCACUGCAGCGUCAACCUCCUGGGCUCCAGCCAUCCUCCCACCUCAGCCUCCCAAGUAGCUGGGAGUGCACCAGCGUACCCAGCUAAUCUUUGUAAUUUUCGUAAAGAUGGGAUUUUGCCAUGUUGCCAUGCUGGUCUCGAAUUUCUAGGCUCAAGUAAUCCUCCUGCCUCAGCCUCACAAAGUGCUGGGAUUACAGGUAUGAGCCACCCCACCCGGCCAUGACUAAUCUUAAUAUGUCUAUUUUUGCUCAUUGUCACUGAGUGGACCUGGAGGCUGAGGGCUGGAAGAGCAACUGGAAUUGCUGUAGUGCCAAAUAUAUCCCCUUUCAUGUUGAUGCCACCCUGGCCAAGGUAUCAUUUUUGUGUGGCAGCCAGAGAAAUCUUUUCAAAAAGAAGAUGGAACUCUAGUCCUGUGGCUGCCAGUUGUCUACAGGUCCUGGCCUUUCCUGCCCCCAGGCUCAUCUGUAUCCAGGACUGCCUGGGAGUCCAGCUCCAGUCCAGUUCAGAGGUAACAAGCAACGUUAUUGUAGCUUUAUGUAAAAUAACCAGAAAGUAGAAAUGACCCAACUCUCUAUUGACAAGAAUGGAUCAACAUCCUGUUGCAUCCACGCAAUGGAAUCCUAGUGAGUAUUAAAGUACUGACACAGGAAACCAUGUAGCUGAAUUUUAAAGCACUGGGUAAGUAAAGGAAGCCAGGCACAAAAGAUGAAAUACUUGAAGUUUUAUUUGUUUGACCUCCAGGAAAGGCAGUAGCACAAUGACAGAAGGCUGGGUCUGGGUCUGGGAGGGGAUCGGUUGCCAAGGGCAUGACACAACUUUUUGUGGUGAGGAAAUUCUUCUUCUUCUUCUUCUUUUUUUUUUUGAGAUGGAGUCUCGCUCUGUCACCCAGGCUGGAGUGUAGUGGUGCGAUCUCGGCUCACUGCAACCUCCGCCUCACGGGUUCAAGUGAUUCUCCUGCCUCAGCCUCCCAAGUAGCUGGCAUUACAGGUAUGUGCCACCAAGCCCAGCUAAUUUUUGUGUUUUUAGUGGAGACAGGGUUUCGCCAUGUUGGCCAGGCUGGUCUUGAACUCAUGACCUCAAGUGAUCCUCCCGCCUCAGCCUUCCAAAGUGCUGGGAUUACAAGCAUGAGCCAUUGCGCCUGGCUGGGGAAAUUAUUCUGUAACUUGAUUUCGGUGGUGGUUUUAUGAUUAUAUCCACUUAUUAAAAUCAUUGAAUUAUACACUUAAGAAAGUAACCACUCUGAAAAGGAUAGUACUGAGUUUGAAAACCAGCAGUUUGAAAAAGAUGGUACCAAGGUUAAAAAUCAAAUGCAGUAGAAUAUCCAAGUAUCCAGGAAGAGCACCUUCCUAAUGUGAUUGAUUUUAUGGAAAAGAAUAAGAGAAGAAUGGAGCAUGAUACAGAAUUCAAACAUUAUUUUCCACAUUGGGGACGCCAAAAUGAAUGGCUCGGUCUAGUGUAGGAGGCAGGUGCUACACAGGCUGACUUUCUAAUGAGGUCCAAAAAUCUUGUAUUUCACUCCAGCUAGAUUGUGAAAAUAGUAAUAGUAACACCAGGUCUUAGCCUGGAUUUCUCAGAAAGCGGAAGCUUAUGAGCUACCCCUUGAUUGGAGAGUGCAGCCACAGAAGCAGGAUGAGAGGAAAGAGGGGUAAAGCAGGAGAAGAGGGCUAGCAACAACUUAGUAUCAUAUGCAAAUGAUGCUUCACCUCAAAGGACUCUGCUGAGAAACCACAGGAACCCUAGGGGUAGGAAGGGAUCAGAAUUCAUCUACUGGCUUCUGCUUCCCAUAAUCAAAAGUUAGCUCUGGGUGGGCACCAGCAACCCUGCCAUUGUGACCUGCACGACGUGAGUGCUUAGCAGGCUGCAGCAAGAAGACACUUGCUGCAGCCCACCAGAACUGGUUGUUCCAGUGGCGGCUGAGAUGGAACAAGUGGACUUGCCCCAGAGACAGGUGGAGCAGAGAGGAUCUGAGGUGGCACAUUAAGAGGGAUUAUAAAUAAUGUGUAUAUUGACAGAGGUCAGUGGUAAGUACAGGUUGUCAGACAAAACAUGCAUGUCACUGGAUCAUUCUUAUCUAAAGGAUGCCCCCAAAAUGUCAGUACAGCCGGUAUAUGUGACAGUGAGACCAGCAACAUUUUCUAAGAUAGGGAGAGGGGCAGAUUCCUGGCCUGAAUUUUACCAAGAAGUCCACAGUUGUAGGUGAUAAUGUCUGAAUGAGUGAAGGUUGUAUCAGACCUUCUGGGCCCAUGAAGGUCUCCCUUCAGACCAGUCUAUAGAUUGAUCCAUCCAAUGAUCCAUCUACCCGCCCACACACCCACCCAUUGACCUACCCAGCCAUCCAUCCAUCAAUCCAUCCACCCAUCCAUCCAUGGCUGGAGCAACUGUUCUCAUAACUUUGUAGAUGGGUGUCUGAAACUACCUCAUCAGAGUCAGGUACACCUCACCAGUCUCAGAGCUCUAUCAUGUAAAAAUAUGAUCACAGGCCAUGCAGGUAUAAGCAGACUCCCCAGCCACCAACCUCAGACCUUAAGGAUGAGUACAGCCCAAUGCCAGAGCAUUCUUAAACUCAGGUGAGGAACCAGAACAGCGGUGAUUUUCUCAGCUGUCUCCAGGAGUCAUGCUAACAAGUCCUCUCACCUAUAUAAUAGGGGGUAUCCUGCACAAUUAUAAAUUAGUGUGGGAGUUUGAGGUCCAGGAUUCCAUCAUCCUUUCUUCUCUCCAGGUUUCUGACUGAGGAGAUGGGAAACAAUGUGUCUGUUAAUGUAUUAAUACCAGGACGAGGGUGCAAAGCUUUUGUUAAGAGCUGUAGUGGAGAAUGCAGUCAAGGUCAGAGGAUUGACACAAGUCCUCUAGUGUCUACCUUUAUUCCUCUUAAGUCUAAGAAUCCAGAGACCCCAUGAGGAUGGAUGAGAAGCUGGCACCAAGAGAAAGAAUGCCCAUCUGGGUGGCGAGGGCAGCUGGUCUUGUCACCCAGUAACAGAUGGACAGAGACCAUGUGGUGGCCACACAUUACCUUUCAACUCAGGGCCCUGCCUACCAAUGCAGGGUGGUCCAGGCACUAGCCAAUCAGAUUGCCCCCCACCAUGGGGAGGAGCAAAUACAGGACGACAGAGGUGGAGCAGGGGGCAGAGUGUUCCCUCUUCUUUGUCAUGGAGGAAGGAAGUUGGAUGGGAGUUCCAUCCUUUCCAUGAGUGGAGGGAAGUGAGGACUGAAGAAAGGAGCCCAGUGGUGGUGACAGCAGAGACAGUGGCAGAGCCAGGGUCCAUGGAUGGGCAAAGGAGCCCCUAGCCCACUCUGACAAUGGUCAGGGAGGGCUCCCUGGGGAGGAGGUAAAUGACCCGCACUCAAGCAGUUAGCUGCAGAGAGGACGGCCGGGCAUCUACACAGAAGGGACAGCGUGAUCAAAGGCAAGGAGAUGAGACACAGUGUAUGGGGACUGGCCAUAAUUUAGGCUUUCAGGAGCCUAUGGCCUGCAGCAGCCUGAGGCAGGAGAGGUAGGCUAAGUCGGAUCCUGAAGGGGCUUGCAGACCACCCUAUGUGCCUAGAGAAUGAGGAGGGAAGGCCGGAGAGUGAUAGCAAAAAUCAAUCCUCUAAAUGUUACGGGGUUUUAUUUUUAAAAUGAAUUUGCAUGAUCCAGGAUCAGGAAAAAUCCAGCCUCUGAUCUCCUGUUUACCUGACACAUUCGUUGGUUCCUGUUUCUGCCCUCCUUGCUACACUGGAGAAUUGGGGGAGGGCCAGCAGGGGGCUUUCCACCCCUGAUAUUAGGCCAGUGGGAGGAGAGGCCGAGGAGCCAGCCCAGACCCCUGGAGGGGCAGGGGGCAGUCACUUGCAGUUCUCAGAGCCUCCACUGUAUGCUGAGCUCCAGUGCACUGUAUAUACUGGGGGCCUGUGGAAGUGGUCUUGGGGGAGAGUAGAGACAGGAACAAAUUGAACAGUACACCCAGCCCUGAAGUGUUACUUUCCUGUGGCUGCUACAAUAAAUUUGCACACGUUUAGUGGCUUAAAGCAACAUAGAUUUGUUAUCUUACAGUUCUAGAGGUCAGAAGGCUGAAAUGGGUCUCACUGGCUAGAAUCAAGGCGGCAGAGCUGGGCUCCUGCUGCAGGCUCUGUGAGGUAGUCUGCUCCUUUCUUUUUCCAGCUUCUAGAAGUGUCUGCUUUCCUUGAUCAAGGCUGUUGCAUCUUCAGCUGGAGCAUCUUCAGCUGGAGCAUCUUCAGCUCCAGCAGGCAGCAAGCACAUCUCCUCUGGCCUCUGCUUCUGCCAUCUCACCUCCUCCUCUGGCUCUCUUCCUCUUCUGCUUUGAAGGACCCUUGUGAUUAGAUCGGGCAUGCCUGGAUAAUCCAGCACAGUCUCCCCUCUCAAGAUCCUUAAUUUAAUCAUAGCUGCACAGUCCCUUUUGUCCUGUAAGAGACAUCUUCACAGGUUUUGGGGAUUAGAACCAGACCGUCUUUGGAGGGGCAUCCUUCUGCCUGCCAUAUGUGACUUGGGGGCAUGCGGGAAAUGGCUGGAGCGUAACCACAAAGCAUACAGCAUGCAGCCAAGCAACAUGCGACAAGAUGAAUCCACAAGUGCCGGGGAGACAACCAGUGAGGAAGAAGCCCAGGAGACUUCUUGGAGGAAGCGAGUUUCAAACCAGAGACAGGAGCUCACCCUGUCACCUAGACUGGAGUGCAGUGGCACAGUCAUAAUUCACUGCAGCCUCAAUCUUCCAAGCUCAAGUGAUCCUCCUGCCUCAGCCUCCUGAGUAGCUGGGACCACAGACACUCACUACCAUACCCAGGUCCUCAUAGACAUCUAAGAGGGGAGGAUCCGCUGUGGAAGUGCAUGGGCUGGAGAUUUUUCUACAUUGCUGGCACUUCUCCAUCGGCAGGGGGACUGUGGAAAUCUGUGCUCACCAAAUACUGCUCAGCAGUCCUGCAUCUUGGAGAUGUACCUGGGCUCCUUUGGGGAGGCUCACAGCAGAAACAGAUGCCAGUUAGUCAACUUGAGGCAGGAAGGAGAGGCUUAAGCCCCUGACUCUUGAUAAGACACUCUUCUUGGGAAGAAGGCCACAUUCAAGUAGAAGGCAAAGCAGAUGGUGAGAAAGGCCCACCAGCAUCAGGGGUCUCCAGCUGGCUGUGCUUCCGGGAAUGCAGCCCAUUCUGCAGCAUCACGGCUGGCACCAGCUCCCUGUUCCCAACCUCCAACCUGCCAAGGUUGGCCAGAAGUAGACAUAUCAUCUGUCAAACUGAAAGCAGUCUGGGAGCUACAGAGCAGCUGUGUGCUCAGGAAGAAGAGGACUGAGUUUGGUGGGCAUCUGGCCAGUUCCUGCCACCAUGCUGCUGGAUGAGAAAGCUGGAUGAAGUUCCUUAUUAAGGGCAAAUGAGUGAGUCUCCUGACUUGACUAGGUUUGUGCCUUCAGAGCUCUGUCUCCUGUGGUGAAUCACACACUCCAGCCAACAAUUCUGCCAUUCUUCAAAUCAUGCUUGGGAUUCCAUUUUUGGUACUCUCUUCAGAGCCUUUGAAUAUUCUAAUGAAUGGUAAAUUUUUAUCCUUUGAGAGUUCUUUUGAUUCCUAGAAGCACCAGAAAUCAUUUGGAACCAAGCCUGGGAAUAAGGGGACUGAUCAAGCUAAAUCACCUUUUUUGGGUCAAAAAUGAGGUGUGACCAUAAAGUAAACCAACUCUUGAGGCAAAUUCCAAAGAUGAGAUACCCACACAGCACAUUUUGAGGAUUGACUGUGUCACUGGAAUAAUUCUGUGAGGCUUCCCAAGGGGCUGAUUUGGAAGGAACAACAUUCAUUUACAUGCAGUCAUGUGCCACAUGAUGACAUUUGGGUCAAAGACAGAACACAUAUAUGACAGGGGUCCCAUAAGAUUAUAUAAGAAAAUUCCUAUCACCUAAUGAUGUUAUAGCCAUUGUAAUGUCAUAACACAACACAUUACUCGUGCUUGUGGUGAUGCUGGUGUAAACAAACCCACUUCACUGCCAGUUGUAUAAAAGUAUAGCACAUAUUAAUACAAUUAUAUAUAGUACAUAAUACUUGAUAAUAAACAACCAUGUUACUGGUUUAUAUAUUUAGUAUACUAUACUUUUUAUUGUUAUCUUAUUUUUUGUUUUUCUUUUCGUUUUUGAGACAGAGUCUUGCUCUAUCACCCAGGAUGGAGUGCAGUGGCAUGAUCUUGGCUCACUACAACCUCCGCCUCCUGGGUUCAAGUGAUCCUCCCACCUCAGCUUCCCAAGUAGCUGGGAUUACAGGCGUGUACAACCACACCCAGCUAAUUUUGUUUUGUGUUUUUAAUAGAGACAGGGUUUCACCAUGUUGGCCAGGCUGGUCUCGAACUCCUGACCUCAAGUAAUCCACCUGCCUUGGCUUCCCAAAGUGCUGGGAUUACAGGUGUGAGCCACCACACUCAGCCUUUUUAUUGUUAUUUUAGAGUGUACACCUGCUACUUAUUAAAAAAGAAGUGGUGUAGAAAAAAGAAAAAUUAAAUAAAUCUGCUAAAAUCUCUUUUUAAAAUUUAAAGUAAACCUAAUCUGGUAUUUCCAGAUUAAAAAAAAAGAGUUAAGUGUAAAAUAGCCUCAGGCAGGUCCUUCAGGAGGUAUUCUAGAAGAAGGCAUUGUUAUUACAGGAGAUGGCAGCUCCAUGUGUAUUAUUGCCCCUGAAGACCCGCCAGUGGGGCAAGAUGUGGAGAUGGAAGACAGUGAUAGUGAUGAUCCUGACCCUGUGUAGAUCUAAUGUGUGUGUUUGUAUCUUUGUUUUUAACAAAAAAGCUUAAAAAGUAAAAACAAGUAAAAAAAUUUAAAAGUAGAAAAAAAUUAGAAAAUUAGAAAAAAAGUAGAAAAGUAGAAAAAAGCAGAAAUUAUAGAAUAAGGAUGUAAAGGAUAUAAAGAAAGAACAUCUUUUUGUAUAGCUAUACAAUGUGUUUGUGUUUUAGCUAAAUGUUAAUAUAAAAGAGAUAAAAAGUUAAAAAAAUUAAAGGUUUAUAAAGUAAAAAUGUUACAUUAAGGUUAAUUUGUUAUUGAAGAAAGAAAAA